ACGCCAUAGGAAGUACUAUUGCUUGGCCAAAGAGCUGCAUUAGACUUAUUUGACGAAGUUACAUGGAGCUGAAGUGAGUUCGAAAAUCUCUUUUGUGCUUGUAUCGUCUUGGAUCUCGUCUAUGUAAAAAGAUUUGGCUGGGACUCGUUAGAAGCUUCGGUUAUGAAUCGUUUACAUAACUUUUGGACAUUUUUCAUAGUUCUUUGGUUAGAUGGUGUAUAUUUUUGAAUUGAAGUAUUUAUUAUGUUUUGAUGAAGUAAUAUUGCAUAUCGGAUCAUGUUUAUUGGCUUAAAUGAAGCACUUUUAAUUU